CGAACGGGUGAGUAACACGUAGGUGAUCUGCCCAUCAGACGGGGACAACGAUUGGAAACGAUCGCUAAUACCGGAUAGGACGAAAGUUUAAAGAUGCUCCUGGCAUCACUGAUGGAUGAGCCUGCGGCGCAUUAGCUAGUUGGUGGGGUAAAGGCCUACCAAGGCGACGAUGCGUAGCCGACCUGAGAGGGUGAACGGCCACACUGGGACUGAGACACGGCCCAG
rnacentral:rRNA from 1 species